UGCUGCUCCAGUAUUAAUAUAAGAAGGUUCAGGAAGUAGGAACGACUUCUGCUGAGAAACCGACAAUCCAGACCCAGAAACUCACCCGAAACAGAGAGAAACGAUGGUGUGACUGCUUAUAAAAGCUUGUGCCUACGUGGUCAGGAAGGUCCAGGCUUCCAUCGCUGAGGGAGAGCAGAAGGAAGCGCCUUUCCUGACACCAUGUAGUGCUAAAGCUGAACGUGAUGCGAGGCUGAAGUCCACGGCCUCCGCUGCUGCGCUGAAUCCAGGAUCUGAUGAGGAUGUUGGAGGAGCUGCAGCCGUGGGGACGUGCCCGGGGACUUCAGUGCAGAAAUGUGCUACUGCUCCCUGACGCUAAACCUGUGGCCGCCGGACCCUUGGACUGGAUCAUCUGUUAAAUAUGUACAUGUGAAGUCCAGCUAAAUCAUUUACAUGAGGGAUCUUUCCUCCCGUGUCUAAAAGUUGGUUAAUUGGACGUUUUUAAAUUAUGUAUUUCAAAACAAGACUUAACAAAGUACAAAUAAAACGUGUCCAAGUGGAACGCAGUGGCCAGAGUCCAGCUCAGGACGACACGCCAGGCGGCCUUUUUCACUACAAACAUUUUGAUGCUGAAUGCAACGCUGGAGUGUUUGUGACGAAAUGUUUCUGGUGAAAAGGGUUCCUGUAAGUUUUCUUUAAUUUAUGUGCUGCAGCGUGUGAAGGCUGGCUCACCAACCUCUCUGCGUAGAGGCUGAGCAGGCCUGAUGUUCCUGCUGCCGCAUCCUUCAAUAAAUAUACUUUAAAACCUA